CCACCCUCGCUCUAGUGGCGUAAAAUAAGUCUCAGUCAGGGACCACGUUUUGGACGCGCUGUUGGAAUUCUAAAGCUUGCCGAAGCUGCACGCCUGCGCAGUUAGACCUCCCACGCCUUUGUUGACGCUUCCAGUUUGGAAGCCAGAUUUACACCCCUGCCUUUCUCCGCUCCUCCUGCUGGGCGCCAUCUUGUCUUCUCCUAGCACACUUUGUAUUGUUCGAAGUUGAGAGAGAAGGAGCCCGAGUCUCCGAGGUGGCGUUGGGUGGGGGCGCUACUAGCUCCCGUUCUCUCAGCGUCUCUAGAGGGAAGGGCGCCGGUGGGAGCAGGAGAGUCUGCACCGGGCAGGCCUCCUUAGGUGCCGGGUUGCGCGCAGGGCCCUGUGCUUGUCUCGCCUCCGGUUGGCUCAGGCCUCGGAGCAUGAGUGCGCCGGCAACUGCUGGGCCCGGGACAGUGAAGCAGAGGAGGAGGUGGGGGAGGCGAGCCCAGGUCGGGGAAGGGCAGCACCUGAAUCACCCUUGGGGCCCAGACCCCCAAGAGUCUCCGGGGAGCCGAGGCCUCGCGAGGCAGUCCCGGGAUUCGCCCCCUCCCCGCUGGCCCGAGGGCGCACCACGUGCUGGGCAGAGACUUCGGUGAGGCCGAGUGGACCCUGCAGCGCUGCUUGGGAAAGGGCACCUUGGACUACCUGGUGGGGGCGUUGUGCUUCGUUACCGACCUCCGGGACGCCAACCCACGGUGCCCACCCGUGCGUCAUUCCGCUGUGGAUCAGCCCUUUGGCGGCCCCCCUCCAAAGUCUACAAGGUCACACGGAUGUCUGCAGGCAGAGCAGCUGCUUCCGGCUCCCUGAGACCCAGCCAUGGAAGGCAUAGAAAGGCAUGUGACAAGAAACUCAUGGCUUUUAAUCCUGGCAGGACAAGGAAAACCCCGUCAAAGAUUUGCAUAAAUUUUGCUGCUCUCCUGCUGGGGCAGGGGGCAGUUCGUCACAUUUAAUAAAAUUCUCUCCCUCCCUUCUCCCGACUGCAUUAUCUCAUAUUUAUUUAUUUGAGACAGUCUGGCUCUGUCGCCCAGGCUGGAGUGCAGUGGCGCGAUCUUGGCUCAGUGGCGCGAUGACAGCUCACUGCAACCUCCACCUCCUGGGUUCAAGCAGUUCUGCCUCAGCCUCCCAAGUAGCUGGGAUUACAGGCCAGCUGGGAUUACGCCGCCACACCUAGCUAAUUGUAUUUUUAGUAGAGACAGGGUUUCACCAUGUUGGCCAGGCUGGUCUCAAAACUCCUGACCUCCAGUGAUCCACCUGCCUCAGCCUCCCAAAGUGCUGGGAUUACAGGCGUGAGCCGUCAUGCCCGGCUUUCUUUUUGUUCUUCAAGAAAGGGAAGGAAAAUAACAUUGUCUUUGAGCCAGUUGCGUGUCGAGGAAAUAAGGGUACCCCCCCACCACACCCCAACCCCCUCAGUGCCCUGGGGUUUGAAGCAAAUGCUCAGAGGGCCUGGUAGGCGGAUGGGCGUCUCCGGAUGAUGCAGAAGGCAAUAAGCACCAGGGCGAGGAGGCCAAGAAGGAUCAGGCCGAUGAUGAGAGGCAGCAAGAUGGACCGGUCACUGGGGCAGGAGAAACCUGGCGGAAGGAUAGGGCAGGUAGGUAUUUGCAGUGACAUGCUGGUUGGGAUAAAGGUGGGAGGAGGGAAUGGGGGGAUGCUGGGGAGUAGGAGAUUGGUGAGGAGCUCACCGCAGUGACUCGGCAGUGAUAAAAGGGGGAAACUGGCAGAGUCUUGUAGAGGAUGGAAAGAAAGCUGCCCUGUAGCCAUGACAAGCUGGGAGAGCGAGAUUUGGGGGGUUAAGAAGAGAGAUGAGUGGCUUAUGGGCCUGGGGAAGGGGUUUUCAGUGCAGUGGGAGGAUUCUAGGAGGGAAGGAGUAGGUAGGUCUUACUUUGCCCAAAGACCCCUGUGUGGGGCAGCUGAGCAGCCUGGAGCCUCAGGGAGAGCAGGUCGAGGUGGACAGCUGGUGAAAGAAUGAUGCUCGAGUUGCUGCAACUGAAGCUCCGGCCCAGGGGUGCUUGGAGAUCUCGAAGGGAUGCAUUCUGAGCCGAGAAUGUCCACUCUGGAGGAGUGAGGAAGGGUCAGAUCCUAUCCACCUCCCUGGCCCCAGCUUAGUCCUUUCAGGAACCCUGGCGUCUAGUGGUAGCAAUGAGAAAGGGAAGGAGGUUACUUACGUGCUGCGUGGGGGAAGGACACAUUGUACUCCACCGCCAUGUAGCUCA
rnacentral:lncRNA from 1 species